GCCAAAUGCAAGUAUGACGUUGAAUAUAUUAACCUGUGUGGACACUGAACUGAUGACGAAGGAGGAAUCUGGACCCUGUGGCUGGACCAGUUGGGAAGCACUGCCCCAGGAUGCUCAAAUAACCAAACCUCGACCUGUAUUUCCCGGUCCUGGGCGGCCCCUUGUGACAAACAUUCGUAAUCAUGUUACUCACAAUUGAUGACUGUAUUCUAAUAGCCAGGGGACCAGUGUUGUCUUCUCAGAAGUGUUAUUCACCUCUCAGCUGCAUCAACCGGGAUACAUAAUUUAUAGCAGGCCAAAUGGAAACUGGAAACUCGCAGCUCUGCAUCAGCCUCAGAUGAAGACAACAGGAGGAUUACACAGCACAAACAUCCUUUUUUUUGCUUACUUCUCGACAUAAAAUAAUCUUGAGCAGGUGGGACUCUAGUUUUUCAUUUUGUAAAGCUCAAGAGGGAACCACCAUCCGCCACACACACUGCAGGGCUGUUCGCCACACAUAAAAGCUGAGAGGUGGUUUAUUUGGACAGGGGCUCGUGGAGGUCCUUGAAACUCUGGUCGCCCUGUUUACUUUCCUUAGAAACUGUGAAGCGCUGGUGGACCUCUAAACACGACGUACAAAAAUGAAAUGCAGAGGAGGUCGAACUGGGGGAGACUGAAUGAAAAGACCAUAUGGUGUACGAGGCUGAUUGAAAUGGAACAGGAAAUGCACAAAGAUCACUCCUACGAGGAUAAAGAGGUGGUGGAGGGCCAGAUUAGAAAACGCAGACACAUGACGAGCAUGCUGGAUAAGGAAACCGGUAGCUUUUGUGGUUUGUAGCAGCUUGAAUGGAGGAUUGGCACAGAUGGAGUACAUGCCACACAUUCCAACUUCAAGGGCAGCAGUUUCACCAAGAAACUUCAGAGUCGACAGUCAUGGCAGAAGUAACUGCUACUUACUGCACGCAGAGGGAAAGUGACAGUGAUGUGUAUUUUGGCUCAAGACCCCUUAAAACAAAGCAGUAACUUCUUGUGACCCAUCAGUUUGGACACGAGCGGUGCCACCAAGGGGAGAUGUUUUUUCUUCCUACAUUGUUUAAGGUAUGAAUAUGUAAAUGCAGUGUUUCUCAAAUAAGGGUACACAUACCCCUAGGGGCACUUUGGAGUACUGCAGGGGGUUAGUGAGAUUUUUUUAAAUGUUAAUUUUAAAAAUAUCAGCUGUGCAUACUUCCUCAAAUAAUUAAAUCAAUAAAUAAUAUUUGCACCUUAUAAAAAAAAAGAUGCAGUUCAAUGUAACCACAAUGUGGCCUUAGUGCUACUGCAUGAUGACAAAACAUUGUUAGUGAUGGAUUAUUUGAAAUACAGCCUUUUAGUAUUUUUCAGUUACAAGGUUGUUGUUGUUAAGCAAAUCAAAUACUGAUGGCGCUGUGCUGUGUUGGACCUCUUUAUAGAGGCUUCAGCUUUAUUCCACCAGGUGGCUUCCUUACCAGGCUCCAAGCGUUCACACUGAGCGGGGAAAAAACACUAUUUAAAAAAAUUCUACCCCCCUUUUAAAGUCCAUGUAACUUAGAAAUGCAAUCAUUUUUUUGAGCCCGUUUUGGUCACUUAAUUGUGUGAUGAUUGUAUUUCCUGUCUGUUGUGUUUUAUUUCUAUUUAACCCUUUGAAACCUGAAGCAACAUCACUUUCCGUGUGCUGCUUUCAAAAGCCUUUAGUAGGUAUUUAAACCUUCAAACUCUGGGCAAAUUGGUUUAGUUUCUUUCAGAAACAUGGGGAAAAAAAGGUAAUGAGCAAGUUGAUACGAAUUGUCCCACCAAUUGCAAUUUUUUUAAAUUUAAUAUUUAUAAAUUAUAUUUUAUUUAACAUUUAAUAUUUAUAAUUAUCAUAAUUACAUAUGUACUUAUUAUGGUAUACAAUUAUUAGAAGCACUCACUGCCUUCUUCCCAUGGAAAUCAAACCAAUUUGCUCAGGUUUCGAAGGGCUCAGGUUUUGAUCACGACAUUCAGCAUUUGACAAGAAUAAAAAAAGGAAAAAUGAGAAUUAAAGCAAAAAGAAAUAACAUUUUUGGAUAAAUUUCAUCAAUAUUGUUAUAUUCUUGCAAUGCUUCUGAUUCGUCUAAUGCCAUUUGGGUGUCCUGGCACCCAGGACGCAAACCACUUCUGUCAUGGAACAAGAACGCUUUAAAGCCACUGAGACCUCAAAAUAAGUGAAAAGAGCUACGGAAAUAUUAACAAUGACCAACUUCAUUAUCUGUAUCCAGAAGCCAUUAAAUGAACCACAUCUCAAGGUUCCACCACUCCACUUAGUAUUGAGCUGUGGUGGGUGCUGCUCAGUUAAAGGAAUACAUCACCGACAAAAUGACCAAAAAAUCAGCUUCUAAUGCUGUGUUAACCUUGAAUUAAUGGAGAAAACUAUUACACAGAACUUGUGCUGUAUAAUCCAAGUCUCAAGGGUCAUUUUCUCGGUAAUUCCCAAACAUGCAUUUCCACUGAAACAUUAUUUAAAACUGAACUGAAAAUGAUUUUUUUUUUUAAUGCUGUCUCUGAAGCCAGACUCCAAUGCGAAGGUUGUGUUUUUUAAAAGCAAAAAUGCAUGCGUUUGUGAAGUAUGGAACAUUUGAAUGGAUAAAUAAGACUUGGAUUAUACAGCACAAGUUGUGUUUGAGUUUGUGAGCGCAUGGCCCCAAGUAAUCAAUACGUUCAUGUUUUCAAUGGAAGCUUGAAAAACAAAAAAGUCUUCAUGAAUUCAAGGUAACACGCAAUGACUAACUUAUGUACAGAGUCAUUUAGUGGGUGGGUUAGUCCUUUAAGUACAGGGCUUAAUGGUUGUCUCCUGUCUAUUAUUUCAUGACUCAUAUGUUGAUUGUAGAGCAGACAGGCAUACAGAUGUGACAGGACCCCAUUGUUCUCAUCCACAGCUACACGUGCUUUGACCCUGUUGGUUUGGUCAUCUCCACUCUGAGUAAUUAUUUUGAUCCUCAGCACAAUAAUCAUCUCAACAGCACAAUUACAUGCUCAUAUUACAGAACACUAACAUGCAACCCCAUCAUGUUGCUCCUUGUUCUGUGCUGCAACACUGUGACCAUAAAAAUUACCGGCUUAGGUUGAAAAAUACAUAUGUCCUAUGCAUUUUCAACAAACCACUCAAAAGCCUUAAAAAAAGGGGCCCGCAAGGAGCAGGCUAACACACACAUCCACCAUCAUCCCUGAAGUACGGCUGAAGGAGACACUUGUGAGUAUAGGUGGUCUAUCAGUGGGUGUCCAAACAUGUAAUUUACCCUUCAGGCUGCGGGCCUGUAAAAAAAGAUCUCUUGUAGUUGCCUUCUGACAUUAACAAGGAAAAUACUCCGCUUGAUUGUAAGUUUGAGUGCAAAGCCGCAAUUCAGCGGACGGCCAGGCUAUAGUAAGGGAGGAAUAAAUAGUAAGGAAUACUAAAAGGGCAGAAAAACCUUACUGGGCAAAUUUUUCAAUGAUGGGUUCUGCUUCCCAUUAAAGCAAACAGAGGCGAGCUGAGCCGCGGCCUUAAGGAGAGCAGUGCGGGCACCGAGGCAGCCAGCUAGACCACAGGAGGGGGAGAUACAACAUACUACAAAUACUACACAUAGUAUAUGUUGACAUGCAGGCACAAGAGAGCAAUUAGCAGCGUGCGGUAGACCAAGACUCGGUGGAUCGUUUUGUUGUUUUGGUUUAUUGUGCACAUUGUUCUGUGGGCCAGUCCAGGGUGUAGAGACUGCAGAUGUUCUCAGUAUUUACUGUAUCAUAAGAAAGCCAAGUAGUCUUCUGACUACACUUCAUUAGCAAACUGCUUUUUGCACAAUCCUUUAUUGAACAAUUAACAAAAUAGAAUGCUGGAGGCUUAAAAUUAAAAGACAGUAUAGAUUGUUUUUUUUUGUUUGUUUUUCUUUUUAAGGUCAAUAUCCCAACAAUUCCCAGCAGACAAUAGUGUUAGGAGCACAUACUGAAAAGAGAGACAUUAUUGAAGCAUUUCACCAGCACAUUUCCUGACCAGCCAUGAGAGACUGAGAUAAAACUGUACAACAGAAAGCUCAAGGUGUCCGUUCAAAGUCCCCACUCCCAAACAUUCUUCAAAAAAGGGGAAAGAAAAGUAUGCAAAUUAACAAUGUCACAAUUUGUGCAGAUAUGACUACAAAGCCAGCAGCACAACUGAGCUAUCAUUAAAGUUAGAAGAUGUGUGUCGACCGUCUAAAUGGCAUGCCUCCGUCUCCUGCGUGGAAUGAGUCGUGGACAUGGGAACAAGACCUCGGAUGGAGAAGGCAAAAAUAAAGUUUGGAUAUAUAUACUGGAGGAAAGGCAGCAGGGCCUAUAUUAAUGUGUCCUUUGGUUUACCUGGGGAAGGUUUCCGACUUUGGAACCCACAAGAAAAAGUCGAUUUCUCAAUUGCACCACAUAAUGAUGUUAAAUUACACAGAGGCUAAAAAUAAUUUAAGGUGAAAUUAUGUUAUUUUGAAAAAUGACUUAAAUUUCACUUGAAACUGGGACUGAACCUGGUCAGUCUUUGUGAAGUUACAACCAAGCACCGUAUGGGACGUGUUAAAUUAAACACAGGAAAAUGGUUUUACACUGCACUAUCUCUGAUCUGAGGCAGGAAACUGGGGACCAACCACCUUCUCACCUGUGUACCUUCGUUAAUUAACUAUGCGUGAGACAAAAAGGAGGACUUUUGUACACAAGCCGUGUGGAAAUACUUGAGCUGAUUACAUUUUGUAAAGUGUUAAUACUGAGAUUCUGACACUGGUGGUUGGAAUGAAAUGGGUCUUGAGCAAAAUAAAAAAAAAAAAAAGGAAAAAUAUGACCAAAAGAAAAAUAAAAUAAAAUGGAAAUAAAUAUCAAGCAAAGAACUAUUUCAAUUUUAUUCAUUGUUGUGCUUUAGCCUGUGUAAUUUCUUUUCAAACACCAAUUCAAAUGCAAGCAUCUUUUUUUAAUCUGAAGGGAGCGAGAGCAUGGGGACAUCCAAUAAAUGAUCAAUGACAAAAAGAAAAAACAUCUUUUAGUAACUCAAAACAAAAUCACAAUCAAUGAAUGAUCCAAAAAAAGAAAAAAAAAAAAAUCAAUAUCUUCAACAAAAAGCAAACACUAUCUCCUUUUGUGCACAUGUCCGGGGUUGGUUUUAUGCAGAGCUUAGCACAGAUGUAGUCCCACUUCCCCUCAAUGCUCAGUUUCCCUCGACUAGGAGGAAAUGCUGAGCCACAAAAGAGUAAAUACAUAGGUGUCAGGUACAUUCCCCUAACUCCUCACAGACAUUAGACUUGCUGUUGGCGCCUGAUUAGGGUUAGACUUGUACACUGAGUGGAAAAAACAUCACACGUUGAACCUAAGGCAGCCCCCGCUUUCUGCUGAGUUGGGGGGUAAGAGGGGUGAUGUGGCUCAAAACUACACUGAUAAGCCACCUAUACACAGGUGGAACCUUUAGACAAGUAAAGACAAAAAAAAGAAUGGAUAGAGAAGGAAA